GACGAACGCUGGCGGCGUGCUUAACACAUGCAAGUCGAGCGAUGAAACUCCUUCGGGAGUGGAUUAGCGGCGGACGGGUGAGUAACACGUGGGUAACCUGCCUCAUAGAGGGGAAUAGCCUUUCGAAAGGAAGAUUAAUACCGCAUAAGAUUGUAGCUUCGCAGGAAGUAGCAAUUAAAGGAGUAUUCCGCUAUGAGAUGGACCCGCGUCGCAUUAGCUAGUUGGUGAGGUAACGGCUCACCAAGGCGACGAUGCGUAGCCGACCUGAGAGGGUGAUCGGCCACAUUGGGACUGAGACACGGCCCAGACUCCUACGGGAGGCAGCAGUGGGGAAUAUUGCACAAUGGGGGAAACCCUGAUGCAGCAACGCCGCGUGAGUGAUGACGGUCUUCGGAUUGUAAAGCUCUGUCUUCAGGGACGAUAAUGACGGUACCUGAGGAGGAAGCCACGGCUAACUACGUGCCAGCAGCCGCAGUAA
rnacentral:rRNA from 1 species